rnacentral:sRNA from 1 species
CACACACAGGUUUGCGGAGAGAGAGUCUCUUCGCUCCGGUGCAGGGUUUGACCUGCAACGCCUGUGGAGGAAUAACCGGAGAAAGGAAAAAGA